UUGUAGGCUAAGUUCCCGGAGG
rnacentral:misc_RNA from 1 species